rnacentral:rRNA from 1 species
GACGAACGCUGGCGGCGUGCUUAACACAUGCAAGUCGAACGAGGUCCACCGCGUAGCAAUACAAGGGAAGACCUAGUGGCGAACGGGUGCGUAACACGUGAGGAACUUGUCCCGGUCUCUGGGAUAACAGUUGGAAACGACUGCUAAUACCGGAUGACGUCGGAGCAUCGCAUGGUGCGCUGACGAAAGGGUUACUGGAUCGGGAGAGCCUCGCGGCCUAUCAGCUUGUUGGUGGGGUAACGGCCUACCAAGGCAUCGACGGGUAGCUGGUCUGAGAGGAUGAUCAGCCACACUGGGACUGAGACACGGCCCAGACUCCUACGGGAGGCAGCAGUGGGGGAAUCUUGCGCAAUGGGCGAAAGCCUGACGCAGCAACGCCGCGUGCGGGAAGAAGGCCCUCGGGUUGUAAACCGCUUUCAGCAGGAACGAAAAUGACGGUACUUGCAGAAGAAGGUGCGGCCAACCACGUGCCAGCAGCCGCGGUAAU